rnacentral:rRNA from 1 species
GCGUGUGUGAUGAAGGCCCUAGGGUUGUAAAGCACUUUCGUUGGGGAUGAUAAUGACCGUACCCAAAGAAGAAGCACCGGCUAACUUCGUGCCAGCAGCCGCGGUAAUACGAAGGGUGCAAGCGUUGUUCGGAAUCACUGGGCGUAAAGAAUGCGUAGGCGGCUUAACAAGUCGAGAGUGAAAUCCCAGGGCUCAACCCUGGAACUGCUUUCGAAACUGUUUUGCUAGAGUCCCGGAGGGGUUAGCGGAAUUCCGAGUGUAGAGGUGAAAUUCGC